GCGGCCUUGCCGUGCCAAUGUUUGAGAGGGGCCAGUUUUUAAUUGUGGGUUCACUAUGGGGUAUAUUUUCAUUGUGUUUUUAGUGUUGCAUUUAAUAUAUUGGUAUUGGUGCACUGUCCUGUUAGAGGAAAUAGUUUUCAGGCAAGUCGCUAGAAACUGAGGCGCGGUGUUGGUACGCCAGCUUGGGCUAGUCCAGUGGAUGACCUGCGAGUAGUAUUAGCAUAGCCCAUGUAUGGAGGUGGAGAUGAUUACACAGUUGAUGUGGAGAUGGGAAUUAAGUGGAUCGAGAAAGUGACGAUGGAGCCAUGGAGACUGUAGUUGCAGGUUGGCAGUUUUGUGAAUGAAAUUUAGUUUGUAACUGUAGAGAAUACAAGAGGUAGCCAAGACUUGACAAGAGUUUUGCUAUUCUCUGUAAUCCUUGCAACAUCGAAAACAAUUGUAGAAGAAAUCCCUGUUGAUGUUUUGGAUCCUUAAGUUUAUCUUUUGAUUCAUUGGCAGCAGAGAUAUGAACGUUUCUCUACAUAUGUUGAAUUGAAUGAGGAGGAGGUAUUCGAAGCAGCGAUGAACAUUUCACGUAUAGGAAAUUUGACCAUUGCAUAUAUAUGCAAUUCAUGCUAUUGGAUGAAAACAAAAGUACAGGUUGGAAAGUUUUUGACAGCUUUUAUAAUGAUCGGCAGGAGGAGAACAUGUGCGUGUUUGUAUAAAAUUCAAAUUUGAAAGGAACCGAGCUUCUAAACUACUUAUCAUUCAUUGGGUAUUGGCAAUUGUUUUACAUUUUUUAGAAUUAACUAAGGAUAAAUUAUAUUAAUUGAUUGAAGACUUUAAUAAAAAAGGGAAGGUAGUGCAAUGGUCGGUUUUUUGAGGAGCUAUUUAAUCUGAAUUUUUUCCAAUAUUUGACCUUAUAUCUACAUAAAAGCUCUUUGGAUUUGAAAAUUUGGUGUACGAAAAUGUUGUCAUUUUUAAAUUUUGAAUAACUUUCAUAUUCAACACCUUUUGAUUUGAACGUGUUUUAGUGUUUGAAUCGUAGAGGCAACCAAUAACCAAUGUAAUGGAUUGCAUGUUGAUUUUGGUAUAGUUCGAGGUUUUUUCAGAUAAAUGGCAUUUCUAUAAAGCUCAAGGGGGUUUUAAAAAAAUUGCCUAAGAGGUGGCUGGACUGCAGGUUGACUUCUAUAAAGUUGAAGGGUUUUUUUGAAACAUUGCCUAGAGGUGGGUUGGACUCCAAGUUAAUUCCGACAAAGUACGAGGUUUUUUUACAAAAUUCCUUGGAUACUCUGAGCCAUUCACGCGUGAUUCGAUGGUUGAGGUUUUGCGGGCGACGUUCUUGGCCCAAAGAAGUUUUGAGGGUUUUUCAGAUAAAUAGCAUUUCUAUAAAAGUUUGAGGUGGUUUUCAGAAAAAAGUUUGAGGUGGUUUUCAGAAAAUUGCCUAAGAGGUGGCUGGACUACGGGUUGAUUUCUAUAAAGUCCAAGGGGUUUUGAAAAUAUGUCUAAGAGGUGGGUUGGACUCUGAGUUAAUUCCGACAAAGUAGGAGAGGUUUUUUUACAAAAUUGCCUGACCUAUUGGAUAAUCCGAUGCGAUCAGUCAGUCGAGAUUUUGCCGACGUGGUUCGUUCUCGGCCUUAGAAGUUCACCGGUUUAUGUAUAUAGAUAUUGGAAAGUGACACCCGGACAUGCACGCUCUUAAAGCCAUGUCUUUUUUCAUGGUGAAGGAUUAGAGGUGUUGAGUCACUCAUCAUCGCUGCUGCACAACAAUUCAUCCGUAUCGUCCAUUCAAGCCGUUAGCGAUAAUCGAUAAGAUGCUGGCAUGUAUAAUUACCAUAGUCCGAGUCGUCUCUGUGGUGUCUGUCCGAUAAUUUCAACGGAUAACAUUUUGGAGCUCUUUUUUCUUUUUUAUCGAGCGAUCGUUAUCACCUUCCUUCACAACCAAGUUCCUCGCACCUCCAUUGCCCAAUCUUCUACUACUGAUUGAAAAAUUGCAGCAGCUGACGUGUCAGCUUGACUAGCCAAUAAUUGGAGAUGGACCUUGGUACUUGGUGGUGAAGGAGGAUUCUUCUCUCUUCCCAACUUCACCCUUGAACACAAAGAAAUGCUACCAACUCCUUAUAAAUACGCUCCUGAAUUAGUGACAAUUCACAAAUCCUAAAGGACCUGAACAAGGGUCAGCCGCAGAACCUGUAACACCAACCCAAGAGUAGAUCGUCAUAAGAAAAGCACCUCAGAUGGUUCUGGGACUGUGCAGAUGCUUUGGAGCUGCUCCUGCGGCAACGGAGGGAAAGAAGCUGGCUCCUGCACGGCAGUUAGUAGCAGGAGGAGAAGAACAGAAGCAGCAGCAGCCUGCCGGAGAUCAGGUAGCAGCUGGUGCUGAAGCAGGAGAGCCGAAGAUGGCGGUUGAUCGGUCCAUGGUAGUAAAGGAGAAGAGAACUCCGGCUCCGCCCCUAGUGAUGCAUCAUUUUCCCUUUCAGUCUCGUCCCGGACUGCUGUAAUAUCACCCGGCUCAUUUGCACCAUUCCUAUCUGUCUUUGGUCUGGUUUGGAAUAUGUAUGGUUUUCUUUUGAACUGAAUCUCUGAAAAUUAUGUUUUUGCUCAAAAUAACAUGUUUGGAUAGUCUUUUUCUCUGCCAUUCUGCGGCAAGUUCGUCGUUGUUGCUUCUGAUUUUCAGUUCAUGAUGCUUCUGAAUUAUGUUAGUUUUCUGUACUAGCCUUGAAUCGAUCCAUUCGCGCGGAUAUGACGUGGACGUUGUAUGCCAAUAAUAUAAUUUAUGAUAAUGUUUAAUGUUUCAUAAACUAAUUUGGUGUUUAUUAUGCUUGAUACUGUAAUCCUUCCGUAGAAAAAAUUUCGAAAACACCAUCAUAUUGUAACUAUGUGGGACUAAAAAGUACGUACUAUUCUUUUUUAUUUCAAAGCAGAAUAUUUGAAAUUGUAGAAAAAUAUUUUUUGUCACUUAAUUAAGUAGCAAAACAUCGACUACGUUGAUAAUAACUUUUGGGGUCAGGAAAAACCUUGUGCACCUGCACAAGUGUUCAACCCAAGUCUCCAAGUCAUCGAUACACUAAGGGGGUGUUUGGUUCUGGGAGGGUUAAAGUUUAGUCAUAUCACAUCAGAUGUUCAGAUACUCAUUAUGAGUAUUAAAUAUAAUCUAAUUACAAAACUAAUUAUACAGAUGGAGUCUAAUUCGUGAGACGAAUCCAUUAAGCCUAAUCAAUCCAUGAUUUGAUAAUGUGGUGCUACAGUAACCAUUUGCUAAUGAUGGAUUAAUUAGGCUUAAUAGACAUCUCGCGAAUUAGCCUAGAGGUUCUGCAAUUAGUUUUAUAAUUAGUUCAUGUUUAAUACUUCUAAUUAAGAUAUAAACAUCCGAGAUAACAGGGUUAAACUUUAGCUAUGGAUAUACAAACACCACCUAAAUGGUAGAAAACUGCUCCGGUGGUCCUUCCCAAAAAAAUUAGCACGAAUAUUAAAGCAGCCACGUCAUUAAAUGUGUUUAAUUUCCGCCUGGGUUCUGUUUGGACCCGGCUCUACCCGUGCCCUAAUUCUGCCCUAGCGCUGUCCAGUCCAAAUGACCAGGCCAGCAGAUACACGUGUGAGCCCUCCCCCUCCUCGUUUUCCUCAUCGGAUUUUUUCCGUCUCGUCUCGUCAUUUCUUCCCUCGUGCGGAGGUGCCGAAGCGCAGCUGGUCGGGCGGCGGCGGCGGCUUCCGCGGCCGUCGCCCCCGAUCCGAUUUAAUCGGCAACGAAGGCGGCUCCUCCCUCUCGCCAUCUGCCAUCAGCUCGCCGAGCGGAGCGGCUUUCGAUUUUGUCGGCGACGGCGGCGGCGACCGGCAGCAUCCCCGAUCCAAUUUCGGCGACGGCGGCCACCUCUCCGUGAUCCCUCAUCCCCUGACCGGUGCGAAAGCGGCAGCACAUCAGGGCGAAGCUGCUCCACGGUAGCGGCUCCAUGGAUGUAUUUGUACCUUGCACUGAAGAUAUUUAAGAAUGAUAAUGCCUUUGAUUUCUAUUCGUUGUUUAUUUUUGGUAUGUACCUAACUAGUUGCUGCACCGAGCAGAACCCAUUGUGCCAUAUUACCGAGCCAGUCAUCAAGACGGCCAGUGAUUGGAUCAGUUGAUGCCGUAUGAUAUUUACUCUGCAUCUACAACAGAUCAGUGUAGACACCUUUGUUCCAGCUUUUUUUUUUUUUGAAAGAACAGGAGGGAUGAAGUCCCUACUGAAAUUUAUUGCAGAAAUUAAGGUAGGAUAAAAACUUUACAGUCUGAUCAAAAGAAAAGGAAGAGGAAAACCCGAAAACAAAGAAGGAGGCGAGAGGUUGAAGGAGGAACGGAGGAUAAGCACAACUACUCAUGUGGAUCUAUGAAUUGACCCACGUGGCAUUAAACUUCAGCCACAUAUAAGCAAAAUCAGUUUUGGGUAGGAGCAAAAGGUGUAUUUUGCACCGGUUUUAGAAAUUAGAGGGGUUAAAUAAACAGUUAGUUAGUUUAGGGGGUUAUCCAAACUUUGCUCAUAGCUUAGGGUAGUAAUUUGGACUUUUUCCUUAAUUAAACAAUGUUCCAAAAAAAGUAAAAUGCACUAUAUAGUGCAAAUUAGUACUUACAUUGCUUGGCAUAAACUUGUCCUCCUCUUUAAUACCUGGAGGAAGCGUAAGGCCUAUCAUAUCUUUUGCCUGUAUACCAACUCGAUAAUGCCUGAACAUUGGUUCUGUACUGUCAAACUCCUCGGACGAGCAAUUUGUUUCGAUAGACUUCACCACUGCAUUUUGCUGACGUGUCAACUCUUGAUUGCCAUCAGAUUCUUUAGCUGUACAGAAUUCAUUGGAAACCCCAUCAGAUUUGAUACACAGUAAGUUUAUGAUCAUCGUGGCAUGUUAGUGACGCAAAAUCCUAAAAGAAUACAACGAAUCUUUUUUGUUUGAACUAGCGUGCUCAUUAGGUGUAUGUGCGCUUCUUUUUCCUGCCUUGACAGAGACAAGUGGAGACUUGUAUUUGACUGGAGUUACUUUUUUUCUUCGGUUUUGUUUCACUGAUGCUGCCACACUCUUUCCUGAAUCCUCUUUUUUUUUCCACUGUUCUUGCUUGAAUUCGCAGUGCUAUAAUUCAGUUCAUCGUCCUCGUCGCUAGCUACCGGGGUAUCAGAUUCAGAGGUGGUUGCACUGCCAUCAAACUGAAAGGGAACAAGUACUCAGAUUAAAUGAAGGUGGCACAGUGGUGAUGACAAUCUACAUAGUAGAUUAACUGAUACAUACACCAAAUAGGAAUCAAUCACAGAUGUGGGGGAACUGGCGAACUGCUCUCCAUGGAGGAUGGAUUUGCGGGUUGGACGUCCAUGAGGCGGGUUGGACGUCGAUAAUGGAUCGUCCCAGCGCUUUGCCGCCGCCUGUUGAGCGGCGGACCUGUUGCCCGGUGGUGGAUGCGCCGUGAAAGGGUUGCAGUUCGGCGUAGCUGUUGCGCGGCGACGGAUGGCCGGUGAGAGGAUAGCGGCUCGGCGGCGGAUUGCGCGGUGAAAGGACUUCCCUGAGCUGCGGCGUCUAGAUGAGUAGCGAUGAUGAGGAAAACGGCGAGGGGGAGAGCUGACGCGUGAUUGUGCUGGCCUGGGCAUUUGGACUGGACAGGGCUUGGGCAGAAUUAGGGCACGGGUAGGGCCGGGUCCAAACAGGACCCAGGCGGGAAUUAAACACAAUGAAUGACGUGGCUGCUUUAAAAUUCGUGCUAAUUUUUUGGGAAGGACCACCGGAGCACUUCUCAAGGUAUAAUUUGCAUAGGUAUAGAUAUAGGAAGAAAUUUCGAAUCUUGGGGAUUAUUUCUUCAUUUUCUAAAUAGAAAGGUCAAAUACUCUCUUUUGUCAAGGAUAAAUCAUUUGCUUCAUUUGUUAAUUACUGGAUUAGCUUUGUCGUUUGAUUGGACUCGUCGAUCCAAUAGACAGAAAAGAUGACUUAUAUGGUGAGAAGAAAAAUACAAGUCACCAUAAAUAUAGAUAAGACAUUCUCUUUCGAAGCCUGUUACUAGGGCUUUAACAGUUUGAAUAUUUUUCUCAUAUAGCCAAGGUUAUUAUUCUAUUUAUGAUGUUUUUAAAGUUGCCUAAGAGUUUUAUAGUCUAGUAGUUUAGAUAAUCUCCUAGGAGAAAAUAAAUAAAUUAACAAUAAAAUAUCUCCAACCAAUAUUUUCCAACAAAAGGCAUUACACCAGCUGGGGCGAGAAUGGAAAGGGAGCUGAUGCUCCCCUCACUGUAUCCGGAAUUAACUUUUUAUUUUUAAAUAUGUCACCCCGGGUGACAGAAUGAGCAAGAACAAAAGAAUUAGACUUCGACCGAAGGCAUGAGGAGACUAUAAUCAGGAGUACAACUGGACCACUGCUAGUUCUCCUUAAAAUGAAUGAAUAACCAACGAAUUCAGAGCAAGCCGGGGCGUGAGUGGAAGGGGAAGUGAUGCAUCACGAUGGGGGGAGCCUUCUGAUGAUCCCUCUUCUUCCUCUCUUUCCUCCCUGCUGCUGCAACAUCGCCCGGCUCACCUCCCAUCUUCUUCUUCUCCUCUGCUACUACCCGCUGCUGCCGCUUCGCCUCUGGACUACCUUCUACUCCUCCUGACUGCUUCCCAGCUGCUGGAGACUCCGCGACGACGGCUACACCGCCAAAGCAUCCUCCCAAGCCCAGCACCAUGAUCUAGCUCUUUGUCAAACACCUAAACUUCUCUCGGCUUCGGGUGAUGGCGUUUGAAAGUAGAAACUCCAAUCAAAUUUUUGUCUAGUCGAUGAUCUUGUUGUGCUUCGGCUAUGAGUGCUCGUGGUAUUUAUAGGGAUCGCCGGUAGAGCUGCGUGGGUGCUUUUGUUAUGCGUGAAGGAGGCCUGAAGAAGCUUCGUCACGUGAAGAAUCUGUUGACUUGUCUCCUCAGAACUCGCUGAGAAGGCUGGUGCAUGGUAAUGCUGACGUCCCCUCUCCUUGGCCGCCAAGGCUCUGCUUCACUUGACCCGCCAGGUAAGCUCGUCAGUGACCAGUCAAACCAACACGUGCUUUGGGACCGAUUUCACUAUCGAUAGAGAGAAGUGAGGAGAUUUCUUGUGUGCUGUGAUCGGAGAAGAGACGAAAACCGCGCUGUCAAGUGAAAAAGAUCAGAGUCACUGACUAGUGGGUUUGGUCGUUAACCUGCGACGCAUAUAAUUUGUUCCACUGCUUUGUUUAGUUUAUCGCCUUGAAAUGGGUUAAAAUUAUUUAGAAAAAUUUGUUCUGACUAUGGGGUGCGUGGAGCGGACUUAACUUGGCCUGGGAAUGUUCUCUGUAGCCCACGACACUACGGGAAUCAGAAGCUUUGCCGAGUGCCACAGGCACUCGGCGAAAGCCCAAAAAUACUCGGCAAAGGCUUUGCCGAGUGUAAUACUCGGCAAACAGCACACGGCAAAUUUUCUGUCGGCAAAGCUUAGUUUACCGAGUGUCAAAACGCGAGCACUCGGCAAACAUUUUGCCGACGGCCAAAAAACACUCGGCGAAAAGAUGUACUCGACGAAAUAUGCGAUGGCGGCGUCGGGUUUAACGGCAGGUUUGCCGAGUGCCAGACGGGAGGCACUUGGCAAACACCAGGGCUUUGCCGAGUGUCAGCACUCGGCAAAGUGCCCAUGUUUGCCGAGUGUCAGCACUCGGCAAAGUGCCCAUGUUUGCCGAGUGUCAGCACACGGCAAAGCCAGGGUGUUUGCCGAGUGUCGUGUCCCUGACACUCGGCAAACAUGGGCACUUUGCCGAGUGCCGUGUCCAUGACACUCGGCAAACAAGCCGCGGCUCGACCUGGGAGUGGCCCCUUUGCCGAGUGUUAAAGCCAAAACACUCGGCAAAGGCCCCUCUUUGUGCCCAGAACCCCCCCUUUUCUGACAUUUUGCCACGUAUAACGGACCCCUCUCAAUUCACAAUACACAUAUCACAGGCAUUUGUAAUAAACAAUUGCAUGCAUAAUUCACAACCACAGGCAUAAUUCAUAAACACCACAGGCAUAAUUCAACAUAAGCACGAAACAAUCCAUAAAUCCAAGUUCAAGUCACAAUUUAGUUUCCACAUUGUUCACAACCAAGUCUACUUCCGUGGAGGCCAAGGAGACCACUGCGACAAAUCUUGAUCUUCAUUAUUCGAAGCCGCUGAUUGAUUCUGCACAUAGGAUAGGACAUUCUAAGCUAACAUCUAAAGUUGUCAAAUUUAAAGUAUUGAAUCUUAAGCACAAUGUGUCAAGUGACUCACAGGAGUAGUUGUGGGUGGCUGAGGCGGAGGGAACAUCAUCAGCGGUGGCGGAGGCAAAGACUGUCCCAUGCUCGAAGUAAAGUUCUGCAUGUACUGGAACAUCUGCUCCAUCCUAAUCCGGUUUUCCUUCUCUAUCCUCCGCCACAUUUCCUCCAUCUGCGCCGCCAUCUCCUCUUGUUUCUUCCUUGCUUCUUCCACCUGGGCCUACAAUAUUUCAUUGCAAUGUUAUAAUGCAAAGCUAAAGUAUAACAACAAACGAACGAUGAAUGGAAGAGAAAGAACCUGUAGAGCCUCCAUCUGGAACUGUGCAGCGGUGGGUCGUGGCCGUAUCGCCAGGCUCGAGUCCGUGCUCCUAGCUCGGAUCUGGGAGAGAGUGGGAGUAGAGGCCGUGUCGAUGACGCCGUCGCUAAUCCAAUAUCGGCCAUGCUUCUUGCCUCCUCCCACCCUCAUCACGAUUUCUCCAUCAAUGUCCUCGGAGCUCGGAUCGAAGUCUGGCCCGUGAACCUCCCUAGCCAUCUUUGUGUACUCGCUGACGCGGCUGUGUAUGCUAAGGUGGCUGUACGCCUCGGACGGGUCGUCUGGGUUGAAAUCUAUAUCGGCCGUCGCCUUGUCCUUUUUGGAGAGGACCCAUGCCUUGAGCUGGGAGCAAGGUUGGCCAUCAUGUGACACCGACUGCGGCAAAAUACAAAAUCAUUAAAAAUUACGUAGAACUAAAUGUUACAAUAAAGAAUUGAAGUUGCGUACCCAUUUUUCUCUAUAUUCAUCAAGGCUUAGGCUGCCUUGAUGGUGUGGUGCAGUCGGCAUUUGCAAACGCCGCUGCCGGCAAGCAAGGUGGUUCUCCAACCACCCGGACUCCAACCACACGUCAACCAUCCUCUCCCAGCACGGCAUAUGCGCACGACACCACCACGGAGGCACCUACAUCAUCAAGCGUGUGACAUAUGAAAAAGAAAAUGAGCCUAAUUAAUCUUAAAUAGUAAGCAUCAACGUUCUUUACUUACCCUCAUGAAUUGGUCCUUAGUCAUGUUCAUUGUUCUUGCCUCCUCUUUUCUAACCUUCAUCUGUCUGUAUUGAGCGUGGAAUUCGAUGAUGGCCUGGAUGCGUGCCUCGUAAUGCAUGUCCUUCACGAGCUUCUUGGCGGCUACAUCACAGACGGCCUUCGCCUUAGCCUCGAACCUCUCCUGGCAUCUAUAGAAGUCCUGCAUAUACACGCGUAUACAGUUAUUAUUUCAAGAAUGUCGAAAGUAGGUGAUGUAUUGAGCAAUUUAGUACGAGGAGUACUUACCCACAGCUCGGCCUUGAUCCGCUCCGCUAUGUUGGGGAAUCUUCUCUGUUGACGAUCAGGGACGUCGGGGGCGACGACGUAGUGGUCCCAAGUGUAGGCCGGCUGCUGCUGUCCGGCGUACACCACCAAGCCAGGGAAGUGAACCCUGCACAAAAGGCCAAGGAUCCCGUUGGCCUUACGGUUGUGGUCACCCCCACUGAGCUUAAUCCAACUCCUGCACAAGUCAUUAAUAUGAAUUAUUAGUUUUUGUAACUUUCAACAUAAGAACAAUAUUAAGAAUAUUUAAAGUUACUUACUUGGUCCCAACCGGUUUAAUCAGCGACGUAAAUGCUCAGGUAUCGGCCGCUUCGGGAGGGAUGAGGGACCUCGCAACCAUAUCUUGGACUGGCCAUCCCCUGCCUCCCCGUCCCCCUCCUGCUCCUGCUGCUCCUCCUCCUCCACCUCCUCCUCCUCCUCGUCCCCAGAGGCGUGUGCGGAAGGUACCUCCUCCUCCUCCUCCUCCUCCUCCUCCUCCUCCUCCUCCUCCUCCUCCUCCUCCACCUCAGGUUCAGGCGACGGGGGCCUUGCCACUUUACCCUUCCCUCGAGGCCUCUGGACCACCACCUCCUCCUCCUCCUCCUCAACUCUACAUCGAGGCCUGCCUCGACGCCUCCCUCGACCGCUCCCUGAACGUGACCCUGACCCUGAACCAGUCCCUGACGCGACCAGUCUCUCGCAAAUCGACGUGAGCUUCCUCAUACUGCCCACCAUUGCUCAAUGACCUGCAAUUAAAAAGAGUACAUGAGUCAGCAUAGGCAAACAAAACAUAAUUACAAAGAUAUGCAAAUUAUAAUUAAAUUAUAACUAAAUUAGUACGAAUCAUACAUGUAUUAGAAAUAAUCAUCAUGAUCGGGAUUUGUGGAUCAUAAGUCUCAUCAUCACUAUCACGCGUGUCGAUAUAGUCAAGCUCGUGCUCCGAAGAAGGAAUGUCGUCAUCACUGUCAUUAGCUAACUAUAAUCGUUGAAGUAAUUCUAAGUCCUUCACAUUCUAAACCUCGUCUCCACCGUCCUCUGCAGCAACCCUCUCGUUGUCUACUUCCAUUCCGAUCGCUUCGGUUAAAUCUAUCACAAAACUCCCUUCGAGCCCAUCUUCUUGGAAUAACUCUCCUUCGUACGUGUCGGGGUCUAUAUUGUAAUCUUUAUUGUUUGGUACAGGUAGUUUACCGUGUGGGGAUACCUUGUACACAACAUCCCAACCCUUAAGACGGCUGUCGGUUUGGCACGGGUAUGACAAAUAAUAAACUUGUGUGGCCUGUUGAGCCACAAUAUAGACAUCGUCUCCUGGUAACCUGGAUGACUGUCGAAUUUCGACUAGCCCAAGGUUAGGGGCCCGUCUCACGACAGAUGGAUCAAACCAAUGGCAUUUGAAUAUAACUGGAUUAAGAGGUUUGCACCCAUGAAAAGUGAGUUCGUAUAUUUCUUCAAUUCUUCCGUAGUACUCGACCCCAUCGGAGCCUGGCGUGAAAACUUUGGUAUUUGUGGUUCUUCGAUUGGGCUGACUCUGCUCGUGCCUUGUUGUGUGAAACCUAUAUCCGUUGACGUCAUAACCGGCAAACGACCUGACCCUAUAGUCAUAGCCAUCGGCAACCUGUCUCAACUCGACAUUCAUAGACGCAUCGGUUCGGCCCUGCAAGUUCAAACAGGGCGGUUCGUUAUAUUAAUCGUAUGUACGAGAACGAGAAUGUUCGAAGAAAUGAAAUUGUACCUUCUGUUUGAACCAAGAAAUGAAAUCGGGCAUUCCAUUUCCCGCACCCUCUUUAAGAAGAGUCUCAGCUUCGUGCGGGUACGGUUGCCUUGAUUUACGCCAGAAUUGACGAUGAAAUUGCCUAUAGCAACGAGAAAGAUACGUUUAGGCAAGAGAUACCAUGACUACGUCGAAACAAGUUUGUGAGAACUUACAUCAUGUACGGCUCCACUUCAGAUAGGUUGGUCAACACAUACAGCAUGAUAGAGCGCCACUCUUCAUGGUUUAGGGUCUUGCGAGUUGCACCACUUGCACUUCCGAGUUGCCCUCGGAAAAUGCUAAGGCUUAAUUCAUAUUGGCUGGCAUUGUAACAAGGAGGUGGAUUAUGCACGCUAGGAAGAUUGUCAGCGUAGUAUUUCGAUGUGAAGUUUGACACCUCCUCCAGAAUGUAUGCCUCUGCAAUGGAUACUUCAAUUUUGCACUUAUUCUUACAUUUAGUUCGAAGAACCUUUUGACAUCUCUCAAUUGAGUAGCACCAACGACCCUGCACAGGCUCCCCCAUUCGUGCUUCAUACGGGAGGUGUAGAAUCAUAUGCUGCAUUGGAUUGAAGAAGCCUGGAGGAAAGAUCUUCUCCAACUUACAGAGCAACACAGGCGCCAUUGUUUCCAUUUCUGCAACCACGGUACGAGAUAACUCCUUCGCACAAAGACAGCGGAAGAAAUUGCUCAACUCCACUAGCACCUGCCACACAUGCUCAGGGACAUAGCCUCGAACCAUCACUGGAAGUAGGCGCUCAAGCCAUAUAUGGUAAUCAUGACUCUUGAGCCCGUUGAUUCGCAUAGUUGUUAAAUUCACUCCCCUCUUCAAGUUCGCUACAUAGCCAUCAGGGAACAUUAACGUUUGGAACCAUUCUAGAACCUCCCUCCUUUGGGCCCUCGUCAGAACGAAAUCGGCCUUAGGCUUCCUCCACGACUUGCCAGCUCUUGGAGGCGCCAUGUUUAGCUGUGGUCUGUUGCACAAUGUCGCUUGAUCCACUCUAGCCUUAACGUUAUCCUUUGUCUUGUCAGGAAUGUCCAUUAUUGUACCAAAAAUUGCCUCGGUGAUAUUUUUUCCAUGUGCAUUACAUCAAUGUUAUGUGGAACAAGAAGAUCAUCAAAAUAGGGAAGCUUCCACAAGCACGACUUCUGCGUCCAAGCAUGUUGCUCGCCAUAUCCCAAAAAACCACCUUCUUCAUUAUUGACUUCGAGAGCGUCUAACUGAGCACGAACUGCGGCCCCUGUCAUCAUCGGUGGUGCAGGGGCUGUAACUACAACAUCUUUGGUAAAGUUCUUGAUGUCUCGUCUAAAUGGAUGGUCAGGAGGGAGGAAUUGUCGAUGUUUGUCGAACGAAGAAUAUUUGCCACCUUUCGACAACCAAAUGAACUUCAAAGAUGCUUUACAUACUGGGCACGGGAACUUCCCGUGAACACACCAUCCGGAGAAAAUCCCAUAUGCCGGCAAGUCAUGCAGUGAGUACUGGUACCAAACAUGCAUCUUGAAGUUUGUCUUUGUGGAUCGGUCAUAUGUCCAUACCCCUUCCUCCCAAGCACGGAGCAAAUCAUCAAUCAGAGGCUCCAUGUACACACUCAUAUUAUUCCCCGGAUGCUCUGGAAUUAUCAACGACAAGAAUAUAUUAUGUCGUUGAAAUAGGACGCCGGGGGGGGGGGGGGGGGAGAUUCAGGGGGAUAACGAAAAUGGGCCAACAGGUGUACGGGGCGGCCGCCAUUCCAUAAGGAUUGAACCCAUCAGUUGCCAACGCAACGCGUACGUUACGGGCCUCUAGAGCUUUUCCAGGAUAAAUCGCAUCGAAGCUUCUCCAGGCUUCAGCAUUAGAUGGGUGUACCAGCUUCUCAGGAUUAUAGCGACGGCCAUUUUUGUGCCAUGUCAUCUGUUUCGCGGAUUCUUCAGUCAUGAAAAGCCGUUGGAUCCUCGGUAUGAAAGGAAGAUACCGUAGAACCUUCAUAGGAAUUGCGAGCUGCUUUUUCUGACCGUCACCACAGUCUACCUCCAGAAACCUAGACGAUUCGCACUUCACACAGUAUUUUGCUUCCGCAUACUCUUUCCUAAAUAAGAUGCAUCCCUUCGGGCAAGCAUGUAUAUGCUCGUAUGGCAUCUUAAGUGCACGAAGGAGUUUUUGUGCCUCAUACAUGCUCUUUGGCAAGAUGUGACCAACCGGGAGUAGGCUUCCAAAAACUGUCAACAUAAUAUCAAACGCAUCUCAACUCAAACUAAACUGAGACUUCACAGCCAUUAGGCGUGCAAUGGCAUCUAGUUGAGAAACCUUGGUAUGGCCGUGAAGGGGUUGCUGUGCUGCAGACAAUAUUUCGUAAUAAGCCUUAGCGGUAGCCUCUGGCUCCUCCUCCCUACGUGCUUCUUCGAAGUGUGCUUGAUGGUAGUCAUUUAACAUGUCUCCCACCCCGGCAUCAUCAUCAAAUUCCUCGAUGCGUUGUCUCAGGACCUCCUCUCUCCCACGGUCUGAUUCACCAUGGUAGAUCCAUCUGGUGUAGUCUGACGUAAAUCCGUUCUUCACAAGAUGUUUGCCCAUGUCUAGCUUGGUUUGCCGACGCAUGUUUUCACAUUUGCUGCACGGACACCAAGUCGAUCGAGCUCCUUUGACACUUGCAAACGCCCAUUCCAAGAAAGCAUCCGUCUUGUCAAUCCAUUCAUUGGUCAACGUAUUCUGACUACUGCGACCCGUGUACAUCCACUGACGAUCCUCCAUCCUCUACCAUUUAAGCGAGUAAUACAAAAUUCACAUUACAUAUACACGUUCCUAUAUUGUCUACUAGGUAAAGAUAGGUCCUAAUCCCACCCGAGAAUGUGUAGGUGGGUUUAGUAUCCAUGGUCUACUCCGACCCGAGAUAAAAUUUCAGCAGCACCUCCCCGCUGUUCUCCAAAUACACGUCCUUGACAGGAGAUUGUGUAUCUGGAGAACAACAGGAAGGUGCUGCCGAAACUCUAUCUCGAACCGGAAUAUACCAUGGAUACUAAACCCACCUACACAUCCUCCGGCUGUCCAAAAAACGUGGACAAUUCGAAACAGAUACGAUUAUAGAUAUGCAAAGAUCUGCAUAUUUCCAAAUGUUCGAACGGGAGACGCCUAACUAGGUUACAUGAUAUACGAACAUUAUACGGAAAGAGAGGUGUAGCAUGCCUCACCUUGCUAUCCUGCAAAGUGAUGAGUCGAGGACGGUCCUUGUAAGCCUCUCCUGCAACAAAAGAAACAGAGCACUGUUUAAGUCAAAAUUUCGGCAGCAACUCCCAUGCACGGGGAGGUUUCCAAAACCUGCAACAUAAUAAACGGCACGAUAGCCGACAACCACAAUCUCACCAAAGAGUUGGCACGAUGGCCAACAACCACAACCACAACCAACCACACCUCUAUUCUUUUCAACAUUUUCUAAUUUCCACUCUUCCUUCUUCUCUAAUUUUCUAAAUUCAUGCCUCUAAUUUCUAAAAUAAAUCCUACCACAUCCUACCACCUCUCUAGUCUUUUCAACAUUUUCUAAUUUCUAAUUUCAUGCCUACUCUAAUUUAUGAUGUGUAGCGGCAUAGAAACUUACCGGAGGGGUGACGGAGGGGCGACGGCCAUGAACAGAGGAGCGGGGGCGGCCGGGGGCCGGUGCGGCGGCCGAACGGGGCCGGCCGGGGCCGGCCAGAGCGGACGCGGGGGGCCGGCGCGGGCGGCCAGGGCCGGCCGGAACGGGCGCGGGGGGGGGGGGGGGGGGGGGGGGGGGGGGGCGGGGCCGGCCGGAGCGGGCGCGGCCGCCCAUGGCGCGGGGCGGCCGGCGGCGGCGCGGGGGAGGCCAGGGGGCCGCGGCCGGCGCCCGGGUCCCGGCGCGGGGCGGCGGCGGCGGCGCGGGCGGGCGGCGACGGCGCGGGCCGGGCGGCGGAGCGGGCGUGGGGCGGCGGCGCGGGUGGGUGGCGUGGGGCGGCGGAGCGGGCGGGGGGGCCGCGGCCGGCGCCCGGGUCCCGGCGUGGGGCGACGGCGGCGGCGCGGGCGGGCGGCGACGGCGCAGGCCGGGCGGCGGAGCGGGCGCGGGUGGGUGGCGUGGGGCGGUGGUGCGGGUGGGUGGCGUUGGCCGGGCGGGCGCGGGCGUGUGCGUGUUGUGACUGCUGUGCCGGUCCGCGUGAGGUGCGUGAGGCUCUAAGUGAGGUGGGGGCGCCCGCUUUGCCGAGUGCUCCUGAUCUAGCACUCGGCAAAGCCUUUGCCGAGUGCUAGAUCAGGAGCACUCGGCAAACAAUUUUUUUUUGUUUGAAAUUUUUUUUCGGAUUUCAAAUUGCGGCUGACAGGUGGACCGCGGCGACGUUUGCCGAGUGCUAGAUCAGGAGCACUCGGCAAACAAUUUUUUUUGUUUGAUUUUUUUUUCGGAUUUCAAAUUGCGGCUGACAGGUGGACCGCGGCGACGUUUGCCGAGUGUCCCAGGGUUGACACUCGGCAAAUAGGCUCUUUGCCAAGUGCCAUCCCGUGACACUCGGCAAAUAGGUACUAUUAUUUCAUGUCCAAACUGGUUUUAUUAAUUAAAAGUAUGUAAAGUUUGCAAAAACCUAGUCAAAUUCACUAAACAUUGCGUAUUUCAUUUUUUAAGUAAUAUUAUUCCAUUAUUUCAUGGAUUCAUAGCUCAUAUUAAAUUUAUAUCUAUUAAAUUCAUAUACGUGCAAUUAAUGAAUAAAAAUUACCAAACGGAUCCGAAAAAUUCCCAAAAAUUGACAUGAACCAAUCUAUGUUCUCUAUGGUCUAUAAAAAUAAAUUUGAACUCAAUCACAAAUUUAAGUAUCGAUUCGACUCAAAAUCUUACCGGAUCCUUCCAACUUCUACGAAUCCUCUCCGGAGAUGCUUCGAAUUCUAAGCAUCAUAUGUCAAAACUUGUGCGAAACCUUGUCAAUUUUUUACCACAGCCUCUGCAUAUGAAAUCAUAGCAUCUUGCAAAAUCUCGUGAUUUUCAAACUUCGUUUGUAUUUUUGAGAAUUAAACAAUCAUUUGGCCACACGUUCGUAGUCGUGUUUCCUUAACAAAAAGUUCGAAAUUUCUUUUCAUUUUCUAGGUAAGACCUCAAUUUGGACUCACUAACAUGAAUAUGAUUUUUCCAGUCAUAUUAUUCUAUUAUUCCAAACACCUGCAGUUCAAAUUUGACUUAAAUCAACAAAUUACUCUAAAUGAAAUUAAUUGAUUAAAUAUAGCAAACAGGUCAAUAAGAAGUCCACCUUGUACCAUGCAGUGCCAAAUCUCAUACAUGUGGAGUAUAAAAAGUUUGGAGGACGGAGGAGAUUUUUUUUUUGCCGAGUGUGCCAAAAAACACUCGGCAACCCCCCCAGGUUUGCCGAGUGCCACAAGGGACACUCGGCAAACUAGCAUCUUUGCCGAGUGCCCCAUCGAGACACUCGGCAAACAUGGAGUUUGCCGAGUGCCCCCCGUCGACACUCGGCAAAGCCUAACGUCCGUCACGGCAACGGCACAGCGCGGCACGUGGAAGUCACGUGCUCAAGACUUUGCCGAGUGCCCCGUGGGUGUUUGCCGAGUGUUUUUUUGGUGGCACUCGGCAAAUCAUGUUUUCGCCGAGUGUAUUAUUUUUGCCGAGUGUUUCUACGAUUGCACUCGGCAAACGGGGCCUUCGCCGAGUGCUCGCAAUAAUACACUCGGCAUAGCAAUUACACUCGGCGACUUUGAGGUUUCUUGUAGUGCGAUAUGGCUAUAGCUAAAGCACAAAAGUUACUUCAUGGUCGAUCGAGCAAAUAUUGGAAAUUGAUAAAGUCACAGUAGUAGAGAAUUGGCUUUCGAUGCACCCCCUUUUGUUCCGGUUUAAAGUUGACCCGAGACAAAAGGUUCACCAACCGGGACUAAAGCUCGGUCACUGGUGGGGGGCUCACCAACCGGGACAUUUUAUCCCGGUUGCAAAGGCUAGUGGGAAAAAAAGACCCUGAGAGGCCUUUUAUCCCGGUUUGAAACACCAACCGGGAUAAAAGACCCCCCUUUUAUCCCGGUUGGUAACACCAACCGGGAUAAAAGGGUCGAGAGCCUUUUAUCCCGGUUUGUAAUACCAACCGGGAUAAAAGGGGAUCAUUUAUCCUGGUUGGUGUUUCAAACCGGGAUAAAAGGAUCCCCAAAGAGGUGACUGAAAGAGGACUAAAUCCCUCGAACCCUUUUAUCCCGGUUUGUAAUACCAACCGGGAUAAAAGAGGGUCUUUUAUCCCGGUUGGUGUUUCCAACCGGGAUAAAAGGGUCCCCCACGAGUUAAUACAAAAGGAUAGCAUCCCCUACAUAGUCAGAUGUGGUGUGUAGGUGGGAUGGCAAGGAAGCUACGCGCGAGGCUGGAGGUUGCGUGUGACACCCGGCCCAAUUUGGUUGGCCCAGUGUGGCCCAUUAGCUCAGGUGCUCAUGUUUAGUACCACAUUGCUAGUUUAGCAAGGAUGGAGGCAACUUAUAAGCCUUCGUCAACCAGCCAUAGCACCUUCGGGUUAACCCUUUUACACGAAGCGAGGACGAAAGUGUAAGCAGGGUGCUAUGUGUACGCGUGCCCGCCCCUCGGAAGGGUUGGGCGGUGCGGCUUUGGAGGACGGGGUGUUACAAAUGGUAUCAGAGCCGACCCUUGCGGUUGUGCGUACGGGUCAGUGUGCGGGCAUAUGGCGCAUGGCGCGUGUGGGCCUGAGAUGGGACACACGGCAUGGCAUAUUGCGCCGGCACUGGACGUACGGUCGUGCGCUUAGAGGGAACGUUCCUGGACAUUUUCCCAUGCGUGGGUAAGUUGGACCGACGAGGACGUCGGGUUCUUUGAGGGGGGGGGUGAAUGUGACACCCAGCCCAAUUUGGUUGGCCCAGUGUGGCCCAUUAGCGCAGGUGCGCAUGUUUAGUACCACAUUGCUAGUUUAGCAAGGAUGGAGGCAACUUAUAAGCCUUCGUCAACCAGCCAUAGCACCUUCGGGUUAACCCUUUUACACGAAGCGAGGACAAAAGUGUAAGCAGGGUGCUAUGUGUACGCGUGCCCGCCCCUCGGAAGGGUUGGGCGGUGCGGCUUUGGAGGACGGGGUGUUACAUUGCGCGUGUGGGGGGCCUCCUGGGAGCAUGAGAUUUCUUUUUUUUUCGGCGCCUGGCGUGGUGACCCGUUUUAUCCCAGUUGGUAAUAACAACCGGGACAAAAGGGGGGUUAUUUUGUCCCGGGUCACUAUUUUCGGGAGAUUUGCACCCUACUAACCGGGACUAAAGGCUAAUUCUCUACUAGUGUCAUUUUCGUCUUCCUCUUUCCAAAGAAAGUUCCCAUCCCCUUUCAUGUAAUAUGCGUAGCUAAUUACACUGCGGACCGAGGUCUUGAAGAAGCAGGUAAGUAGCCCAGCAGAAGCGAGUCAGCAGGAUUCCACGUGGAAAGACUGCACGCGGGUCGUUGGGUUUCGUUGCAUGCACCACAUGAUGUAUGUAUGGAUGAUCCUGGAUGGUGGAGUUUAACCAAUAUACUUGUAUUAUAUGGUUCACUUCUAUUAGUAGAAUAAUAUAUUAAAUGGGAUGACUUCAUCCUAAAUGAGCCAAACGAAAAGAUAAAAGUCAGAUCGAUUAUAAAAAAUCAUUACGACACAGUCGGUUCUAUUCACGAAAUCGGCUCUAGCUAGCCUUAAAACAGUCACGACAAAUAGUUUUACAAGCAAAAUUACCGUUUUACUCUAAAAAUGCAUAACUUUUCAUACAAAUUUGGAUGGAGAUAAAUUUUAUAUUAAAGGGUAUCACAGGCGGACAUGAGGUUGCAGGUUCGAAUGCUAAUCAAAGUAUUUGUGCAAAUAUUAGGAUGAACAAGGUUUGAGUGCUGGAGGUGGCAGCGCAUAGCCACCUAGGACCUUCGAGUGCAAAAAAAUCUAUAUUUUUGGUGCCAAAAAUUAAUAUUUUUAAAGAUACUUCGUACAGAUAGAACCGACUAUACAAAUUACUUUUACAAUCGGGUCUCAAACUGUUAUUGUCGAUUGUACAAAUUACUUUUACAAUCAGGUCUGAAAUCGUCAGUACAAAUACUAUUUGUAAUGAAAGAUGUUUUUACAGUCGCUUCAAAAACAAUCAGUACAAAUGGUUUACAAACGACUGUACAUGUGGGUCGUGUAGUAGGGAACCAGACAAACAUGUUGUUGAUUAUAUUAAAAAAACACAGCCUGGGAGACCAAGUGACAAAUGAAAUAAAUCACUUCAAGCACCACAAAUGCUCAAGCUAUAGAUUGCUCUUCUCAGCUCUCUAAUGUUCACACAAGAUCACUCUCUCAUCCCAACUAUUAAAAAAACACAGCCUGGGAGACCAAGUGACAAAUGAAAUAAACCACUUCAAGCACCACAAGUGCUCAAGCUAUAGAUUGCUCUUCUCAGCUCUCUAAUGCUCACACAAGAUCACUCUCUCAUCCCAACUCAAAGAUUUCACAAGAAUCACUCAAGUCUCACAAAGAGAGGUUAGGGAGAUCUUUUCUGGUGACUAGAUGAUGUCAAAUGCAUGUGCAACCAGUAGCCCCUCAAGGAGGGGACCAAGAGGUAUGAAUACCCCCACUCACCAUAAACUAGCCAUUAGAGUUGCUUAAACUGGUCAGAUUAGUCAGACUGGUCUGGCUGAGUUACACUACAAUAAAUCUUAGGAUCUAUGACGACCUGUUAUUAUCAUUAUUUCUGGUAUUUUUGUCAUAGCAAAUGUAUUUAUGAUGACUGCAUGACGAUAAACUUUUUGCCAUAGAUUAUGCGUGGUAAACCUCGUUCUAUGACGACUGCAUAUUUUUUCAUCAUAAUUUUUUAUGAAGACCCCAUUAAAAAAUCAUCACUAAAUAUCUUAAGGUCUAGCUAGGCCAUGUACUAAGCAGAUUUUUAUUGGGCCAAAUAUAAUUGUGGGCCAAAUUUAUAAUUUGCAAAGCCCAUUUAUAUAAGUAAAAUUAACAUCAAUUUGGGUGCCAUUUUUUCUUUUGCAGCCUACUUAUUUAGUGGGCGAGAAAAGGCCUAACCCAUUUAAACUGGAAGACAAAACAACCAUUUCAAACAUUCUCUCUCGGUUCACCCACUCGUUGAAUCGACCAUUGUUAGCUGAGCUGGGACAGUUAGCACACUCGAGAGUUUUCUUAAGGCUAUUCUGACUUAGGUCAAUUAAGAGCACUUUUGGUGCUAUCAAUAAGCUAAUGUAGCAUCCCUCUUAAUAGUACGACAUACCUAUACUCAAGAACAAAUAUAAUCACAAUAUCAUCCACUUGAGCUUGUAAGUCUUUAUCAAUGCCAUACUUUGAUCAAUGUCAUCUUGAGGGCUCUCAACAUUGCUAUCAUCUUGAGCACAUCAAACUUAAUCUAGUAACUUGGACCAAUAUUCAACACAUAUGAAUGAAGUCCCUUUUUGGAUCCUAAGUUACCACUUUAUAUGACUCAAUAAACAUUUUAUGCAUCCCAUUGCUAUACUCGGUAAGACUUGACUAGAUACCUCGAAAUCCUCCAAGCACUAGCCACUUCACCCUAGCAAAGCUCAUGGCCCAAGUCACCACUUGGCCAAACUUCGCUUAGUACCUUGUUGUUAAUCCUUUGCUUGAUUUCUUCAUCCAAUCGUUACCACAUUGAGUCUAGCUUCGUUUUGACAUCAAGAAUGAAAUCCAUUUGAGAUCAUAUCUUCUUUUGACUUUAAUAUCCCAUUUGAAAUCCUCUUCAAAUGCUUCCUCUUGAUUGAUAAAAAAUCUCCCAUGAAUCGCAAGCUUCCGAUAACAAGACCAACGUGAAACACAUAAGCCCAUGUCCUUUUAUCAUAUACAUAUGAAGCCUUGCAAUGUCCAUUUGUGAAUACCACUAUUCUUUUCUUCAUGAUCCCUUCACUUGUCAAUCAAGCUAUCACAUAAUUUGGAGACUUAUAGUUCAACCAUGAAACAUAUCCUCAAGUUUCACUUCACCCUUACUUGUCAUUGAUCUUUCAUUUGCAUUAUGGGAUCACACACUUGCUUCUAUCUUCAUUGUGAGCCAUAUAAUACACAUUUAACACAUGAGAUAAUAUUACACCAUGAAUAUAAGAAUAAAAUCUUGCUCACAAUCUUAGGCAAACAAGUUAGUCCUUUAAUCAUUUUGUCAUUCAAUUCACAAAAAUCCACUUAGGGGCCUAAAUGCACUUUCAUUGGUCAGGUCUAAAAUGCACAACUAAACUUAUAGGUGGUUCCCAUGGACAAAAGAAUUUUAAAGUUACAAGUUGCAAGAACGGACAUGCAAUGCAUGGAUGCUCUUGAUGCCAAUCAUUUUUAGAGUGAAAAACGACAAGGAGAUACUGAUUUUGAGCUUAUAUUUACAUUUCCCAUGCCAUUGUUUUCACCUUCCCAUCAUUUUCACCUUCCUUCGCAACUAAGUUCAUCACACUUUACUUGCCAAAUCCUCUAUUAGUAAUGAGAGAAAGAUUACAGCAGCUGACGUGUCAGUUUAUUAGCACUACACUACAAUUGAAUAUCAACCUUUUUGAAGGUAACACUACUGGGGAAGCGCCUUUCAGUACUUGUUCCUAACUCCCCUUUAGUACCGGUUGUGCAACUGGUAUUGCUACUUCAAUACUCAAGUGGGACCUUUAGUACCGGGUCAAAUAACCGGUACUAAAGGGGUAUUAAAAAAAGAAAAAAAGAAAUCCUGCCAUCAUCUGCCGCACCCUCCCACCGCUCCUUGCUCGGUCGCCCUGCCCUCCCACUGCCAUCCGCUGCGCCCUCCCGGUCGCCCCACCCUCCUGCGCUCCUUGCCCGGUCACCCCGCCCUCCUGCCGCCGUCCGCCGUACCCUCACGCCGCUCCUUGCCCAGUCACCCCACUUUCCCGACACCGUCCGUCUGUCCGUCUCGCCCUCGUGCCACUCCUUGCCUGAUCGCCCCUCCACUGCACCUGAGCUAGCAGGUCAGUGUCGGGCCUCCCACCUCUGCCCUUGCCCCUGUCACAACCUUUGCCCCUGUCACCACCCUUGCCCCCAUCGCCACCCUUGGCCCUGUUGUGGGGGUGCUGAGAGAGAGAGGACAAAGAGAGAGGAAGAUAGGGGGGAGAAUAAGGUGGAUGGGAGAGGGUACGGGGGAGAUGGAUAAGACUGAUGGAGCGACGGGUACUAAAGGUUGGGAGCUCCUUUAGUACCAGUUGGGAGCUCCAACCGUUACUAAAGGUCACCCAUUAGUAUCAAGUGGAGCUUCCACUCGGUAAUAAUGUGCUUGAGGGCCUUUAGUACCGGGUGGAGGCUUCACCCUAUUCUAAUGGGUGAGUUUUAGUACCGGUUGGAGCUCCCAACGGGUACUAAAGGGUGUCAGGGGGUAACUGAGGAACUAGCUGUUAGACCCGGUGCUAAUGCUCACAUUAGUACCGAGUCAAAAACAAACUAGUACUAAGGGCUAGUACCAAUGCUCACACUGGUGGAAAACCUACCUUAGUCCCGGUUGGAUAGGGCCAUAGAUCCCAAAAAUCCAACCGGGACUAAAUUUUUGAGACAAAAGGGGGUCCUUUAGUCUUGGUUGUUACUUCCAACUGGGAUUGAAAAGUUAAAAAAAUAAAAAAUGCCCACUCCGCACCGCUCCACUCGCUCCGCUUCGCCGGGCUCGCGCCCGCCAACACUACUCCGCCCCGUGCAUCUCUAUCCCACUUGCUGUGGUCACCGGCAUGCGCUGUCACCUCGUUGCCGCGCCAUCGCUGAACGCCACAGAGAAGCACCAGGUUGGAGGGUGCCUCUAUGUGUGCAACCACCGCACCCUCCUGGACCCAAUCACCGUCGCCGUCGGUUUUGAACAAGCUCACUCCCACUGGCGCCGCUCCACGCCGUGCCUGACGGGCAACGCCGCUCCGCUCCGCGCCGAGCCCGCGCCUGCUGGCCGCUUGCUCGUGCCCGCGCACCGCUCAACCUAGAAGAGGAGAAAAGAUAAGGAAUGGGAGAGGAGGAGAGAAGAUAAGGAAGGGGAGAGGAGAUAAGGUGGAAAGAGAGAGUUAGGGGGGAGAUAAAGGCUCCGGGGAGGCAUUUAGUCCCGGUUAAAAAUAAAAUCAGGACUAAAGGUCCCCCUUUAGUUCCAGUUGGAAUUACCAACUGGGACUAAAUCGAGUUCCGGUUGGUAAUUCCAACCAGGGCUAAAGGGUUGGCCUUUAGUCCCGGUUGGUGUUUUCAACUAGGAUAAAAAGUCUCCUCAUCCCACUAGCUGUUACAACUGGGACUAAAGGGGGCUCUUUAGUCUCGGUUGAUAUUACCAACCGGGACAAGAGCCCCGUCGGUGGCCAUCGGUGGUGGAUAUUUGAUCCGGGACUAAAGGCACUUUAGUCCCGUGUCCAAAAUGAACCGGGAUAAAAGUUCCUGUUUCGAAGAUCAAUUCUCUAUUAGUGUCAGUUUUCCAGUAGUGUAUACAGCUGCAAAUCAGCACGACUCUUCUCUUCUCCAACUGGGGGAGCUUCAAACCAUCCUUCAACAAAAGGCAAUGUUACCAAUUGCCUUAUAAAAUGUUCCUGAAUCACUUGCACAAUCACACAUCCUGAAGAAACUGAACAACUACCAAAAGAUCAGACAAACCUGUACGGAGAUCAGAUAUGGUUUUGGAACUUUGCAGCUGCUUUGGAGCUGCUCCUGCGGCAGCGGCAAAGAAGGCAGCAUCUACACAGCAGUUAAAAAGCAACAGGCUCUGGGAGAUCAGGAAGCAUCUGGUGGCGAAGCAGGUGAGCCGUCCGCGGUUGAUCGGAGCAUGGUAGCAAAGGAGGAGGAGAGAGCUCCCUUGGUGAUGGUUCAUCAGUUACCAUUUCAUUCUCGCCCUGGAUUGAUGUGACUUUGUCUGGCUUUGGAUACACCCCGCUAAAGUUUAGCACCUGUCACAUCGGAUGUUUAUAUACUAAUUAGGAGUAUUAAACAUAGGCUAAUUACAAAACUAAUUGCACAGAUGGAGUCUAAUUCGCGAGAUGAAUCUAUUAAGCCUAAUUAGUCCAUGAUUUGACAAUGUGGUGCUACAGUAACCAUUUACUAAUAAUGGAUUAAUUAGGCUUAAUAGAUUCGUCUCGCGAAUUAGCACAGGGGUUCUGCAAUUAGUUUUCUAAUUAGCUCAUGUUUAGUCCUCCUAAUUAGCAUCCGAACAUCCGAUGUGACAUUGCUAAAGUUUAGUAGCUUAUAUCAAAUAGCCCUUCAGAAUGGUUUCAGGACAUGCAUAGGUUUACUUAUUUUAGACGCAUGGUUUACUUCUGGAUUUGGAUCUUGUAGAUUUAUCUUCUUAAUCCUACAGGAGACAGAUAAACAUGAGCAUUGAGCAGUAGGCACAUACCGAAAUCCCUGCCUCUCUGUAGCAAGUUCAUCGUUGUUUCCAUUCUAAUAAAAAGAAAAGGUCUUGGUUAUUUCGGUUCUUCAAGCUUCAAUGGUCACAAAUGUAUAAUUCCCUAUGUUAGCCUCAAAUAAACUUGAAACUUAUUUAUUUUAACUGUAAAUCCAAUCAUAAAAAAUUAUAAACAACUGCGUUAGUAAGAACAUUCCGUAAUUUUGUACUAUUAAAACCAACUUUUCACAGCGGACUACAUGGAAAACCUGUAGGAAAAUAUAUUCCGUCACUUAAGUAGGGACAUAUUGACUCUGUCGGCUAUAUGGCUAUGACUUUUUGUGUCAAUAAGAACUCUGUGCACAUCUACAAAAUAAUUGUACUCAAUGUCAUUUCUUAGAUAUCCUCCUUGCUGUAAGAUGAGUCUUUUUCAGAUAAACAUACUCUUCAGGAAAAUAUUCCUGACCAGUGACCACUAGAAAACCUUGUUUCUUGAAGAAUUGGUCUAAAUUUCAAGUUUUAACAAGUGUUGCUUUAAAAUUACUGUGGAAGAAUAUAAACUUGAUAUGCCAUUCGGAGAAAACCGUGAAGAAACUAUAGGAAGCCGGUCACGGGUGCGAAGUUUUUUCGGCGCUGCUAGUGCUGACGCUCCAACAAAAUAUUAAAAAUUACCUAGUGCAACAUCAGCGCUCAUUAUUUGAAACAUGAAAAGUAUGUGUAAAAAUGACUACGUCAUUCGACUUUGGGAUAGAAAAUUCCCACCGCAAUAUGGACACUAUGUUUCAUGCAACAUUCACCGUGAAACAUGCAGAAACAAUUUAAAUAAUUGCAACAUCGAUGCUUAACUAUUGCAACAUAUGUCGGAGCGUCCGAUUUUUUCAAGAUUAGCAUUACUGAAGUUUUUUUAAUAAAGUAGGGGAUUCUUGGAUUCUGGGUUAUUUUUAGCAAACUGGGAAGUUUCCCGCACCUCUUGAGCCAGAAAGAAAAAGGGUGUCCUAAGUAAAAAAGGGGUGUUCUCCUAUUUCUUGGCAUGUGCAGAUACUUUUUUUGGUGUUACAUCGUCCUACUGAGUGUGAAUCUAAUCCUGUGCUCAAUGGAUAGCUGAAAUCCGUCAUCACCUGAAUCUGGUGCCGUCACUAGUAGCUAGAAAAGAAAACGCAAAAAGCAUCUAGAAAAAAGUUGAUGAUGUGGCCGAGAGAGACGUGGCAGGUGCCAGCUUGGUAUGCCGCAAGACGAAGGCAACGAUUCGACCUCAUCACACAAAUACAACUCUUCCACAAGCAGAUUCGAAAUCGACGCACCAGAUUCAUCCGAUGAUGUGUCCCGUACCCGCAUCGACUGUCCUAACACGCAAGCGACCGAAACUCUCUUUUCUUUCAUGGACCCGUCAACUAUAUAGAGCCUGGAAUCCAUGUGUCGGGCCAGCACAGAACCUUACGAGUUUCGACCAACUCACCGUGUCAUCCUCUCGUGGCCGGCGAUGUCGUUUCUGGUGGACUGGCUCUUCGACGUGCUGGCGUCCCUGGGGUUCUGGCAGAAGGAGGCUAAGAUCCUCUUCCUCGGCCUCGACAACUCCGGCAAGACCACCCUUCUCCACAUGCUCAAGGACGAGGUCAGGUCCCCCCUACUCUUCCCUUCACUUCCACCACUCGAUCCCCGGCCAGCGCCGACCGGCGCUAACACGGUCGCUGCCAUCUUCUUGUCCUACGCAGACGUUGACCCAGCACGCGCCGACGCAGCACCCUACGUCGGAGGAGCUGAGCAUCGGGCGGAUCAACUUCAGGGCCUUCGACCUCGGCGGCCACCAGAUCGCGCGCCGCGUCUGGAAGGACUACUACGCCAAGGUCGACGCCGUGGUCUACAUGGUGGACGCCGCCGACGGCGGCCGCCUCGCCGAGUCGAGGGCGGAGCUCGCCGGGCUCCUGUCGGACGACGCGCUGGCCAGCGUGCCGUUCCUCGUGCUGGGGAACAAGAUUGACGUCCCGUGGGCGGCGCCGGAGCGCGAUCUGGCGUACUACCUCGGCCUCGCUGGCUGCACCACCGGCAAGGGCACCAUCGACCUCGCCGGCGUGCGGCCGGUGGAGAUCUUCAUGUGCAGCGUCGUGCGCAAGAUGGGGUACGGCGAGGGGUUCAGGUGGAUGUCGCAGUACAUCAAGUAGGUCAUGUGGGGGUCCAUGGUAUAUAUAUCUCUCGGUGUGCUUGUUGAAGUACUAUUAUUUAUUGUGCUCUCACUCGACCAAAUGUUCAUCUGAAUUUGUAUAUGGUGGUUUCAACGUACUUUUAACAUAGGAACCAAGUGGUCACAGUAUGUUUCAUUUCUAUCCAGACUUUGGACAUGCUGUCUCGCUCUUGUUUCAUCUUGUGGUGGUUGACUGGUAAUGAGCAACUGGUAUUCAAGGCUUUACAAUGUGAUGAGCUGAUGGAAACCAGAAACAAUAUAUACAUGGUAAUCUGGGCACCUUUGGAACUGAUCAACACGUUCGGAUUUGCUGCUAUAGUAGGCAAAGUUUAAGCCAUGUAGAACAAAUAUUUCAUUAAGAUUGGUGAGAGGACCCAACUCUGUUGCAUUAUUAAUUGCUGGAACCCAUAUUCCAAAUUGCUAGAAUCCAUAUUCCAAUCUGAAGAAGGUAACCUCUGUGUUUAUUGCAUGAUGGUAGUACCAGCGUUAAAAGCUCAUCACCAAAAAAAAAGACAUGAAGACCCAAGAUUGUAAAUAAAACAAGUGCAUUGUUCCAACUAUAAUAAAAUUAAAUAAAACCUCUAAAUAUAGACUAAUUUACAAUGCGCCUGCCGAGGAGUUCACCGGCAAUGCUGCCUCACUGACAUCAUUAGUGGGGAUGUUGUUCCAUGGUGAUGCAAGUGACCUAGCCGACAUCAAAAGCAAUGCCGGAGUGCGGAGCGCCGUUCACCAAUGUUGAUGUCCAACCACCUCCUCUUUGGGGCCCUCUCUUCCUCUUCAUGCACUUGCACCACUGCCUUGUACAUGGCCUCCACCACCGCCUCGUCCAUGCCCACCACUUCCGCAUCCACCACAACCACAUCAUCCCUAGCACCUCUAUCACCUCCUCCUGCACCAACUCCUCCUCUUCCUCCUUCUCCUCGUCCUCCCCAUCCCCACUUUUUUCCUCAUCCCUCCAAAUCAACAUUAUCAUCGCCACCAUUGCCAUCAAGCUCCAUCAACGCCAAAAACUCCUCAUCUUCGAGGGAGUCACGCUAAAACAUGUGGUCAUCGGAAGACAAAAUCAUACUCAUCACCUAUGUGCUCCUCAUACUCCUCGGAUGAGUAGUUGGAAAGACGAGUAGAAACCGAUGCCAUGGUAGUUGAUUUUGUUUUUUUGAGAAGGAAAAGUGAGUGCAAGUAGGGGUUUGUGGGAGAGGAUUGGUAUGUAAUGGCAUGCAAGUUAAAAGGGGGAAGUGAUGCAUCUAUUGCAAAUCGUCAGGAAUGGGCAACAAUGUUGCAGAAUUUGAUUUAGGGGAUUUUUUACAAAUGAUCUAAAGUAGAAGUACAUAACACUGGAGUAUUUCAAUUCAUAGGUAAAUCUGGUUGGGAAAAAAACUGAGCAGACAUAAACACAUUGCACACAAUCAUGGAGUAAGUUCAGGCAAUUCCACCAUAUUUAAAAAAGCAUAUAUUUACAAGAUACAAAGAUGAUGAUUUGCACAAUCUACUUGAGGUUUCUGAGGGCCUCCCAGUUGACAAAUUCAAGGUUGGUGACAUGACUCACAUAAUAGAAGAUGGCGACCUCAUUGCACCAGUGCCAUGUGUGUCAAUGAAGAUGCUCCACAUCUGCGUGGUAUAGAAGCACCGCGAAGACAAUCCUAGAGGUGUUAUCGUUGCCAUCUUGGAGUUCCAAUGGCUUAGCACAGCGCCAAUGUAGACCGCCAAGGUGUGUCAAUGCUCAUAGUGUUGCUGUUUGGUGACAUAGACUGCCACCAGUUCACCAUUGUCACUACAAUAGAUCCCCAUUGGAGUAGUAAGGUACUAUAAUUAGUGAGGUUCAGCAGCGAAACCGUGUCGAUGAUCCUAAAAUCCACAUGGAAAAAUUUAUAUCAUGAAACAUAUGAAAAAGCAUAAUUACAAACUUGGAGCACGGGUGAAUGAACAUGAACACAAUUAAUCUGAAAAGAGGAAAUGAGGAAUAUAAUACUUGCAUCGAGAGAAGAUGAGGAAGGGCUUGAGAAAGCAACUAACAUGAGAAGUCAAGGCUCGGAAGUCUCACUUAUUACAAAACUGCGUCUACCAUCCCUACCAAGCCUCCCUAUGUCUACGGGCCAUGGAGCAUGCAAUGUUGCAAUGUUCCUUGUCCUAGGAACUUCCUAUGAAAUGCAAAUAUGUAGUUAUGCCUAAACUACCUUUCAAAUGAUAAUCCUAUAUAGCAAGAAUGAAUUUCAAGGUGAAUAUAUUUGAACAAAAAUGGAGUCAAUGAUACGUUUUACUAGGUGUUACCACUGCCGUGCAUUCACUUUGCAUCACCCUUAUCUCCUAUGUCCAUGACUGUUAUUGACCAUUAAACCCCCUCUUCUUCUCCAUAGUCUACACCAUUGUUGACCACCACAAGUCCACCACCACACACAUCAAUGUAGAAAGAGGAACAGACUGUGUUGCUGGGUUCUUUGGAAUGUGGAAUGAUGCCACAUUCAUCAUCGAUGGGUCAUGGAACAAUGUCAAGUUACUGGUCAGUGGAAUGUGCAACACUGUCACGUUUGUCGUUAAGGGAAAUUGUCUAUCAAAUUUUUCUACAAAUAUGUAGUAGUUCAUAACUAUUGUCCAAAGGAUAAUACUAUAGAGAAAAAAUGAAUUUCAUAAAUGGAAUCUAGUUGAGUAAUAAUGAACCUUAUGGUGCAUUUUACUAGGCAUUCCAAGUAACAUGCAAUCAUGUGCGUUGAUGGUCGUUAAGUACCAAAUAUGACCGUCAAUAUACUCAAGAAUAAAGGAUGAUUGUCAUUUCUUACAUGCAUACUUGUUUUCGAAUAAUGUAGUUCCACUUGUCCUUGGAGAAUAUUUAGUUGCAGGUGAAAUAUUACAAAAGGAUGGAGAAAGCACACUCUAUGGAGCAAAGAAACACACUUCUAACCAAUGGGAGGUUGCCACAUGUGCACCCCAUGGACUGAAGGGCCCAUAAACUACCACAACUGCCUCAAUCCACUAGAUAACGCACACAACCGCCAUUGGGACCAACAAGGCAGUCACUCGGAGAAAGGCAGUAGUGAGGCGAGUCCACAGGAGGUCGGCCGAACCGUCCUUGCCUCCUCUUGUCUCUACUUCCACGUGGUGACUGUUGACGGUUGUUAAGUAUCAAAUAUGACCAUCAAUAUACUCAAGAAUAAAGGAGGAUUGACAUUUCUUACACGCAUAUUUGGUUUCGAAUAAUGUAGUUUCACUUGUCCUUGGAGAAUAUUUGGUUGAAGGUGAAAUAGCACAAAAUGAUGGAAAAAGCACCCUCUAUGGAUCCAAGAAACACACUUCUGACCAAUGGGAGGUUGCCACAUGUGCAUCCCAUGGAUUGAAGAGCUCACAAGCUACCACAACCACCUCAAUCCACCGGAUAACGCACAUAACCACCAUUGGGACCCACCAAGCAGUCAAUCGGAGAAAGGCGGUUGCGAGACGGGCCCAAAGGGGGUCAGCCGAACCGCCCUUGCCUCCCCUCGUCUCCAGCUUCCAUGUGGUGAUGGUUUAGGUCAGUUAAAGGAUAUUCCCCAAAAAUUCCCUAACAAAACCGCCUCUUGGAGCCUAUAAAUAUGAGGGGAGGGGCUCCAUUCUAGGACACACACACCACAAAUUGAAUUACUCUCUCCCUCUUAGUUUCCAUGUGAGUGGAGUUAGGCUAGAAUAGCUUUCCUUUAGGUUCCAGGUUUCCUUGGAGUCUAUGGUAUGGCUCUUGUAUCUUUUAUUUCUAAGUUGACUUUAUUCUAUUCUAAGUAUACAUCUUCCUUAUAUAGUGUUGUACUUGGUUCUAUACAUGAUUUGGUUGUAUACCCUAGAUAUAGUGAUAUGCUAGGCUUAUACGCUCGUAUGCUAGUCAUUCCCUUAUUAUCUUAGUGCAGGCUUAUAUACUCUCACGUGUGCUUAUAGACCUUGCUACAUGUUAUACUUUGUGUGCAUACAUAUAUUAUACAGGCUAGUUGAUCUAUGCUACGACAUCGGUUCUGUGGCUAUUUCCAUGGUGGCUUCAGCCAUUGACACCAUAGCCAGGAUGGUUGGAGUGUUGUUAACAAUGCAAGCAUGGUGCCUGGAUUGCUUAGCUUCAUUGGAUAUGAGUUUGCCCCACAGAUUGCUAGGGGUAGGCGACUGGUGGUGACAACCCUGUCUGUUUUUUGUAAUCCCCCACGUUCCAGUAUGCUGUAGGAGUUUGUAAAUUAGCAAUAACUACAUCGGCAGAUCGGUAGGGUAAUGUCUCCCCAUGUGUGCCUAGGUGCAUAGGCCUUGUCCCUAUACAAUGUGUAUGUAUGUUAUGUUUGUAUGAUCUGUGCAGUAUAUAGCAAGUACAUACGAACCUAGAGCUAACUCUUAGUCCUUCUCCCUAGCUUAGUUAUCUUGAAUGAUUCAUCUGUGUGUGUCACACUACUCUAUCCAUCAUUAUCUUACCCCUAUCUUGAGUAUUGUCUCUAUCCAUCUUAUGAUAUACCCAUAUGCAUAGUAAACUCUUUUGACCUACCCGCCUUCCUUUGGGAAAUAUGAUACCUUUGGAAAAACUCUUGGGUGAAAUGCUAUAAUGGUAUAUUCAUGCACUUGCAGAUUUAUUCGUGAUCGUUAAAUAUACCAACAAUGAUAGUUGAUGGGGCCCCUACGUCGGUUAUAGGAUAUUCCCCGAAGGUUGCCUGACAGAACCGCCUCUAGGAGCCUAUAAAUAGAGAGGCACCACCUCCAUUCUAAGACAUGCCACAAGUGAAUCAUUUUCAAGUCAGGGAAGUUAGGCUAGAGUAGCUGUACAUUGAGGUUCCAGGUCUUAUUGGAGUCUAGGGUAUGACUCUUGUAUCUUACAUUCCUAGGUUGACUUUAUUCUAUUCAAAAUAUUCAUCUUCUUUAUAUAGUGUUGUGGUUGGUUCUUAUAUGCAUGAGUUAGAUAUAUACCCUUGCUAUGUUGAUUUGCUAGGCUUAAAUGCUCGUAUGCUAGCCAUAUACCCUUGCUAUCGUAGUGUAUGCUUAUAUACUCUCAUGUAUGCCUUGAGAUCAUGCUUCAGUACAUACUCUGUAUGCACAUAUAUACCUUGUAUAGCUUAGUUAAUCUAUGCUACAACAUCGGUUCAAUGGCCAUGUUUAUGAUGGCUUCAGCCAUAGUCACAAUAGCUCGGGAUGGCUGGAGUGUUGUUAACAAUGCAAGCAUGGUGCUUGGAUUGCUUAGCUUCAUUGGAUAUGAGUUUGCCCACAGGCUGCAGGGGUAGGGGGCAGGUGGUGACAGCCUUAUCCAUCCUUCGUAAUCUUCCACGUUUGGGUAUGCUGUAGGAGGUCAUAAAUUAGCAGUAACUUUGCCGGGUGGAACUGGUACGAGUACUAUCUCCCCGUGUGUGCCUGGGUGCAUAGGCCUGAGUCCUAUACAAUGUGUAUGUAUGUUAUGCUUGUAUGAUCUGUGCAGUAUAUAGGAAGAACAUAUGAACCUAAAGCUAACUCUUAAUCCUUCUCCCUAGCUUAGUUAUCUUGAGAUGAUUCAUGUGUGUGUCACACUACAUAUCUAUCAUAUAUUACCCCUGCGUUGAGUAUUGUUUCUAUCCAUCUAUGGUAUACUCAUAUGCAUAGUAAAAUAUUUUGACCUACCUACCUUCCUUUGGGAAAUAUGAUACCCUUGGGAAUACUCUUGGGUGAAAUGCUACAAUGGUAUAUCCAUGUGCUUGCAGAUUUAUUCGUGAUCAUUAAAUAUACCAACAAGCAUUUCUAGUACCGUUUCUCGGGAAGGCACUGGUUCAAAGUUUUUAUUUUUUUUUAUGUUUAUAUUCAUAGUUGAUAGAUCAUUACUCAAGCAGGCUAACCUUGAUUGGCUUCUAUUUCUUUGAUGCGAACACAGGUAGUGUAUGACUGCUUUCGACUUGCUGACAAACUUUACCGAGAAUUUAGAGUCACUUGUGAGAAGGGUACGUUCUCAUGCCAUUCCUCCUCAGAUUACUCUCUUGGCAAUCGAUCUAGCUUCCUUCGCACCAUCUACAUCAAACGCAAUGGCCCAGAAGACUCUUCGUGAGUACUCCGUUCCCUCAGCCUCUCAGGUGCUGAAAGGCCCCAAGGUGGAAACGAGGAAUGUGAACUUUGAGAUCAAGAUGGGUCUCAUUACGAUGGUGCAGGCUAGCCCAUUAUGUGGCAAAGCCAAUGAGGAUGAAAGUGCCCAUCUACAGUAGUUCCUUGAGCUAUUCAACACCUUCACCAUCAGUGGGGUGAGUGAAGAUGCUAUUCGUUUUCGACUGUUUCCAUUCUCUCUCCUAGGGAGAGCAAAGCAACGGUUCUAUGUGAGCCGUAUGAAGGUGAAUACAUGGGAUAAAUGUUCAGCAGCAUUCCUAGGAAAGUUCUUCCCAUUGAGCAAAACCAACACCCUUCAUGGAAGGAUUUCAAGUUUCCAGCAAGCAGCUGCUGAGUCAAUUCCUGAGGCGUGGGAAAGGCUUCAAGAGUACAUCCUAGCAUGUUCUCACCACGGGAUGGAUAAGUGGCUCAUUCUUUAGAACUUCUUCAAUGGGUUGACUCCGACAUCCCAAGGCCAUGUUGAUGCUGCUGGUGGAGGAGCCUUCUUCUCGCUUACUAUUGAAGCUGCUACAAAUUUGAUCGAGAAGAUGGUCUCUAAUCAAGGGUGGAGCGAUGAGCGACUCCAACCUUGUCAGAGAGGUACACAUACCGUCAACGAAGCGGACAUGCUUACCACCAAAAUGGACCUCUUCAUGAAGAUAUUGGAUGACUACACCUAAGAGAAAGCUGCCAUGUCCAACACCGUCCAAGCUAUGAAUUCUCAUUUGACCUGUGAGGUUUGUGGAAACACUAGACACUCGGGGAAUAAUUGCCCUGAAACCCAGGAGGACGUAUUGUACAUGAACAACAGCAACAAUUAUCAUCCACAAGGAUGCCAAGGGUGGAAUCUACAACACCCUUACUAAGGAGGUAGCAAUGGUAAUUCUUUCAAUCCUAACCAACCCUCCUUUAGAGAUUGUGUUUUUGGGCAAGCUAAGAUAAUUGAAAGUUUCAAUAAGAAGUUAGCUGCCAACGAGAAAACCUUGGAUAGCCUCAACAUAAAACUUGAUGGUUUUUCUUCUGCCUUCAAGAACAAGCUGAGUUUUAAUAAGAUGUUUGAAACCCAGUUAGCUCAGCUGGCCACUGCUGUUCCUUCUACUGAGAUUGGGAAGAUCCCGGGACAACCUGAGUCUUCUCAUGAAAAUGUUAGUGUUGUGACUGCUAGAUGGGGUAAGCCAUCUAGGAGGCUGUUUAUUGCUAACCAUGCAGUAGAAGCCCAUACACCAAGGAAGGAAUCAUGGGAUGAACUAGUAGCAAGUAACGAAGAUCCGGGAUAUCCGGUGAUCAGCUGCUCGAUGUGUGACUACUACAUCAACUAGGCCAUCUGUGACUUUGGAGCAAGUAUCAACAUCAUGCCCAAGGCGAUAUUUGAAUGGCUGAACUAUCCUACUCUUUCCCCUACCUUGAUAAGGUUGCAGCUAGCUGACUCGACACUCCGAUAUCCUGAGGGAAUAGUUGAGAAUGUUUCGUUGAAAAUCUGAGUUUCCUAUGUCCCCAUGGAUUUUGUGGUCCUUGAAAUGGAAGGUGACUUGGGAAUGCUGCUCAUUCUUGGGUGACCAUUCUUAAAUGACGCCAAUGCAAGGAUCGAUGUUGGAGCUGGAGAAAUCAAAUUUUGCAUUGGGAAGAGCAAUAUGAUGUUCAAAUUUGAACUGAGGGAGGUGUUGGAGGUAUGCCCUAGAGGCAAUCAUAGAGAUGAUGAUAUUCCAUUUAUAUCCAUGAUUUGUAUAUUGUGUUCAUUGAAUAUCCAUUAAAGGCUACUUGAAUUGAUUUGCAAUUAUGUGAAUUGUAUGUGAAACUCUUUACUUGUAUGGUUAUUCUAAAGUUGUCCCUAGUCGGAGUUCAUGUGAGGACACACAUGAAUAUUAGACUAGCACAUGUAUUAGUUGAUGACUAUGUUUCACAAGUGAUGGACAUGGAGAUGUUGAACUAAUAAUGUGGACACAUGUGGAGACAUGUGCUAGGACUGACCCAACACGAGAAGUAGUUCUCUCUUUAAACAACAUAUACGCUUUAUCCUUAGACCUGAGAUUGUCGCAUGUAUUCUAGAUGUGGAUCGACCUACUUAGGGGCUAUCAAACGCUACGCCGUAACAGGGUAGUUAUAAAGGUAGCUUUCGGGUUUGUCAAGAAGCAUGCUAUGAGAUAUGGUCAAUCAAGAUGGGAUUUGCCCCUCUCUGAUUGAGAGUGAUAUCUCUGGGCCCCUCGAGUGAUCGGAUCCGAAAAUGCAUGGCCAUGCUACGUACGGUUAAGAGUUAACCUACAAAGGGAUUCCGAAUCACAGGAUCGAGAAAGAGUGGUCGGCUUGAAGCUAGACCAAAUAUCGUGAGGCAAAGGGAAUAGCAUGUGUAUUAUGUUGUGAUGGUUCGUCUGAUAUGAUCUUCGUGUGCGUAUAGGAGUUGGCACGUCUUGCUAGAGGCCGCUACCGACUAUUAGGCCGAGUAGGAGUACUCGGGCCAUGUCUAUACCUAUCCGAACCCAUAGAGUCACACACUUAAGGGGUUGGAAGCCCAAUUCGGAUCUGAUCCGAGUUGGAUUAGGUUUAGAAGUACUAAUGGGCCUCGAACCCAGAGACCCGUUAGGAACCUCUAUAAAUAGAGGGGUGGGUCACCCUAGGGUUUACACCUUUUUGGCGAAACACAUCUGCCGCGCCUCCCACACCCUCGCCUGUUGCAACUCGCGGAUCUAGCAGUCCGGCUUGCGACGCUUCCUCCCUACACGUGUGGAUACCUUGGAGGUGUUGCGCCUGCAGCACUUGGACAAGCCGCCGACGAGCCACGACGAGCCGACGACGAGCCGCGGCACGAGGGCGAUCUUGCUGCACGUGGACGAGCUGCUGAGGAGCUGCUGGACGUUGACGUGAUCGACUACGUACGACUACGUUGAUCGACUACGUACGACUACGUUGAUCGUCUUCACUGCAUCGACGCAAAUCUACAUCUUCCGCACCAGUAGGGCAUCGAGUGGUAAUCCCGUGAUCCUUAUACGGCAGUUCUUCCUGGUUUUACGUGGUAGAAAUUUUGAUUUGCGCUAGUGUAGCCUACCUCGUAUCCCAACAGGAGGAGCAAUGCUACUUGAUCGAUCAAGAAAAUGAGUGGCACAGGGAGUGGAUGGAGCCAGAGCCCUUAUCCAAAAAGCCACCAACCGUACCAACAAAACAAAAGAAGAUCAAGAAGGUGUGGCAGAAGGUGGAACGAGCACCCUCAUCCACUUCUCUAUGAAUGGAUGCUGAAUGGUAAACACGACAGAGAAGAGUCCUGCUCGUCAGACUCAAAAUGGUGAGCCUUUCGCUGAAAGCUAAAUCGGUAGUUAUCUCAUAUUUGGUUUCCAAAUUUAGAUUUCCCUAGCAUUUGAUUUUUCCCAAAGCAUAUUUCAUUUUUUCAACCCACAUUUGCAUGCUGGAAUUUUUCUAGCCAUUUUCCCCUUUUCAUAAAAAAUUCUGAAAAUGAUCUUGAGCUAAUAUCUCUUUGAAAAUUCGUUUGAGCAUUUUUUGAGCAAACUCUAGCUGAGGCACCCAAGCAUGACAUCAUGUAGCCGUUGGGGAGCUGUAGGCCAAAUGGGGGUAGCUGGUGGGGCCCACCAGGGGUUGGCCAAACCAAGAGAAAUGGUCCCUAGGCCCUACCAGCGCCAACUGCUAGUAGCUGUUGGCCACGGUCAGAAUCUGGUCGUUGCCCCCCUUGCUCUAUAAAUAGGACUCAAAAAGGAGGUGAUCUUCAUCCAUUACUCACAUUUCCUCCAUUCACUCCCUCUCUACUCUUUGCUCUUGGGUUUUCUUUGAAGUUUUCCUUAAAAGUUGAGUGCAAGCAAUCUAUCUCUCUUAAUUUCUUUGCUGCAAGAUUGGCCAAGCAUUGGAGGACCAAUGUACGGGUAAGUUUCAUUCGAUUACACUAAUGUAACCCGUUUCGAGUUUCUCUUGUAUUUCCUUUUUCUUCGGUGGCAAGCAUGAAGCUAGUUGCCAGCGAGUUCAGGAGGAUGACGGGUUCACGCUCGUCCCAUUCACGGGCUAGCACGAGCUCUCCUGAUUCCUCCAAACCAACACCGAUCCCGACUUCAUUGGACUAUGAAGAAGAGCAAGCUGAACCACAAGCUGAAGCUAUGGAGAUGGAUGCAAGUGCUGCCCCCUACCUUGACUUGCAAGGCGAUUGAGAGAAGCAAGCCUACGUGCCAUCCUCAAGGACCGGACCUUUGGUGACACUAAGGCCUACGACCGGGAAUUUCUGGUGAAUUUUGGUGGCAAGCAUGAAGCUAGUUGCUAGCGCGUUCAGGAGGAUGAUGGGUUCAUGCUCGUCCUGUUCAUGGGCUCGCAUGAGCUCUCCUCAUUCCUCCAAACCAACACCGAGCCCGACUUCGUUUGACUAUGAAGAAGAGCAAGCUGAACCACAAGCUGAAGCUACGAAGAUGGAUGCAAGUGCUGCCCCCUACCUCGACUUGCAAGGCGAUUGAGAGAAGCAAGCCUACAUGGCAUCCUCAAGGACAGGAACUUUGGUGACACCAAGGCCUACAACCUGGAAUUUCUGGUGAAAAUAGGUAUGGAUAUCGACUUUGCUUUUGUUUGGUCUGCUAUUGGGUGGGACGAUUCUUCGCUGGUGCGGAGCUUGAUUCUCGAUCCCUCACCAUCAAGUUUCUUUGCAGUCUUCGAGAGGUGAUGGACAAUGGUUCUUUCCGACUCUUCAGGAUGGAAUACCAUUUUACUUGGAAGGAAUUUAGCCAUCACCUCGGUUUCGGUCCUUGUUGCAUUGUUUCUCUUCACAAAGCUUGCCGCGGGUUUUCUCGACUUGGUUUUUGGGGUGACAUCUCUGGUCAGAGUGUCCAUGGCAAAUUUGCAGCUAGGUGCAAUGACAUUCAAAAUCCAAGCCUUAGUUUGAUGCACAAGUGGCUGGCCAUUACUCGCUUUCCAAGAGAGGAUGUUAGGCCCGUGCGCAACAAUGAAUUGAUGAUCUUAUACGCCAUGGUCAAGAAGAUCAAGAUCUCCCCCAUCAAGGAAAUGGUUAGGCAAUGGCUUGAGAAUUUUAGUAUGAUGGGUCCCAUUGAGUGCACUUCUUUGAUCACUCACGUCACUUCAAAGAUCGAGACUCUAGAUGGGAAUGCUAUUCCUUUCAUUGAGACACCUCGACUUCACAUCGGUGAAGUGUAUUUGAUUUAUGGCCACACAGUUAAGAAGGGCCCAGAUGAUUCUUUGGUUUUCUUCUUUUUCAGCUAUACAAAUGAGAUCCCAUUACGUAACCCUAGGUUUCGUUUGUAUAAUUGCCGUUCGCUAACCAUGUCUCUUGUGCCAGAAGAGGAAGCUCGCAGGAGCAGUGUUUCUAGUGGUAGGAUGACACAGAGCAUGUCAAGGAGCGCAGCUGCCACCACCACCACAACCCAGCCGCAGCCUCCUGUGUACCCAGCUCAGGUGGGAUAGGCCACAGCUGGAUAUGUGCCCGGGGUAACACCCGAGUACACUUCCGGUUGGGACCAACCUUCCAAUCAGCACGAGGCUAGUAGCUCGGCAUGGCAGAGCACGGGCGAUGAUGAUUGGGCCCAACUGAUCCAUCGGGACUAGUCCAUUAGUUCUAGCUUUGGUGGUGUUCCUUCCAUGUACGCCCCUCGGUGCUCGUUCUCAGUUCAAGACCGCUCUGAUCUUCCUCAGCAACUGAGCGAGCUCAGUGUGUGUACUAGAUACAUGGAGGAGUCACUGAACUAGCACAUCUAGUCCACUCAGAAUUGGCAAUGAUAGACCAGCAAGAGGAUACAUGCCAUGCAACAAUUUCAGCAGCAACAGCAGGAGGAGGUGAGGGUUUACUUUCGUUGGACGGGGUACAACCCCAACCAACAAAUAAAAAUUUGAAAAACUAAAUAGACAAAAAAUAUUUAGUGCUUUUCUAUGUGCGGUAAGAAUGUUUUAAUUUCUAAUGGUCGCAAUGAUGAAUAGUUGUUCUAUUUAUUUCCUCUCAUAUGUCUUGUUACAACUUAGUAUCCAACCCAUGUUUUUGAGUUUGUUGGUUUGUGUGAUCAAACCUUAGUUUGAAACUUGUGAGUAGCAAAAAAGCAUGAUCCGUGUCCAGGUUGUUGUGAGAUAUGAUAUGGUUGAAUAGAGUUGCUAUGAUCUUGUUCUAUGUGAUGCUUGAUAUCCGGAGUUUUACUUUUGAAAAAUGCUAAAAUGAUAAGUUCCUCAAUGAUUAGAAAUUCCUAUCCAAGGCCAUAUGUUGAUCGUAUUAAAUAGCCUCCACAUACGCGGCUUGUUCUCUCAUUGAGAUUUGUCAAAUUGUUGUGAUCCUUAGUGAGAUUCUUUUCAUACUCCCAUGAUCAAGAUCACGUACAUGCCACCACCAUAUGCUAAACUUCUACAUUGGAAGUUAGCAAUCAUCAUUUCAUCCAUCUACAUGGGCUAUGCAUGGCCACCACUAUGUUAUUUUAUGACCUCUCUCUCUCUCCAAUGUUAUCCUUGCAAAAGAUACAUGGACUAUGCAAGAAGAAAUAAAACACAUGUUCAUGAAAGCAUGAUGAAAAACAGAGAGAAAGAAAAAGAUAUCCCAUGUCCUAGAAAAAGCAAAGGAGAGAGAAGGAUCAUACAAAAGGAGUCUAUAUACCAUCCACCAUAUUCACCAUCCACACAUAUGCACAUCUUGAUCAGGUUGUAUGACUUGCUUCUCCAAAAGAUCCGAUCUUUGACUCAUCAAUACAUGAAAGACAAGUAUUCCUUCAUCUUUCCUACCUACGGCUCC
rnacentral:lncRNA from 1 species